AUUGAACGCUGGCGGCAGGCCUAACACAUGCAAGUCGAACGAGUGGCGGACGGGUGAGUAAUGUCUGGGAAACUGCCCGAUGGAGGGGGAUCACUACUGGAAACGGUAGCUAAUACCGCAUACCAUCGGAUGUGCCCAGAUGGGAUUAGCUAGUAGGUGGGGUAACGGCUCACCUAGGCGACGAUCCCUCGCUGGUCUGAGAGGAGUACCAGCCAAACUGGAACUGAGACACGGUCCGGAAUCCUACGGGAGGCAGCAGUGGGGAAUAUUGGACAAUGGGCGCAAGCCUGAGGCAGCCAUGCCGCGUGUAUGAAGAAGGCCUUCGGGUUGUAAAGUACUUUCAGCGGGGAGGCGUUACCCGCAGAAGAAGCACCGGCUAACUCCGUGCCAGCAGCCGCGGUAAUUC
rnacentral:rRNA from 1 species